rnacentral:rRNA from 1 species
GAUGAACGCUAGCGGCAGGCUUAACACAUGCAAGUCGAGGGGUAUAGUUCUUCGGAACUAGAGACCGGCGCACGGGUGCGUAACGCGUAUGCAAUCUACCUUUUGCAGAGGGAUAGCCCAGAGAAAUUUGGAUUAAUACCUCAUAGUAUGUGAGAAUGGCAUCAUUUUCACAUUAAAGUCACAACGGCAAAAGAUGAGCAUGCGUCCCAUUAGCUAGUUGGUAAGGUAACGGCUUACCAAGGCAACGAUGGGUAGGGGUCCUGAGAGGGAGAUCCCCCACACUGGUACUGAGACACGGACCAGACUCCUACGGGAGGCAGCAGUGAGGAAUAUUGGACAAUGGGCGCAAGCCUGAUCCAGCCAUGCCGCGUGCAGGAUGACGGUCCUAUGGAUUGUAAACUGCUUUUGUACAGGAAGAAACACUGGUUCGUGAACCAGCUUGACGGUACUGUAAGAAUAAGGAUCGGCUAACUCCGUGCCAGCCGCCGCAGUAAGAC